rnacentral:rRNA from 1 species
UACGUAGGGUGCUAGCGUUGUCCGGAUUUAUUGGGCGUAAAGGGCUCGUAGGCGGCGUGUCGCGUCGGGAGUGAAAGCCCGCUGCUUAACGGCGGGUUGGCUUCCGGUACGGGCAUCGCUGGAGUGCGGCAGGGGAGACUGGAAUUCCUGGUGUAGCGGUGGAAUGCGUAGAGAUCAUGAGGAAGACCAGUGGCGAAGGCGGGUCUCUGGACAGUUCCUGACACUGAGGCACGAAGGCCAGGGGAGCAAACGGG